UUAAAACUAAACCAACCUAAAGCAUAAUUAGCCAACUAAUCAAAGAUUAGUGAGAUUACUCACCAAAUUGCGCGCAAAUCCGAUCAAUCCGACGGCGGCGACGCGAGGAACGAUUGUCCCCAAAGCACGGCUCGGGUUCGGGGCCCGGAAACGGCCCAAAACGGCCCACGAACAGCUGGAUACCCACUCCGUGGGUUUGCUGGUUCGGCCGCAAAACAGCAAGAAAGAGAGAGGGUUGGGGGCGGCAAGAGGUCGGGAGAGCGGGUGGUGGCUUGGCGAGGCCGAGCGGUGGCCCACGGUGGCCGGAGGUGGCCGGAUCGUGGCCGAACGGAGCUGGACAGAGGAUGGGCAGCAGCUGGAUCGUGCGGGGAAGCACGCCUGGCGCGAGGGAUGGCCGGCAAAACGCGCGGCGUUGUGCGGGCGGCGUCGCGGGCGAUUCGGCUCCGGUGCGGCGGCGGGACGGGCGACGGUGGUCCUCGACGAGCUGCUGCUCUUCUUUGCCGGUUUAGGUCUGGUUCGCACAAAGAAGAACGAAGAAGAAGAAGAAGGUCACAUGGGAUGAGGGAGAAGAGAGAGGAGAGAGAAGAAGAGAUAAGAGAGAAAAGAGAGAGAGAAGACAAGUUUGACUAGUCAAAUGGAGAGAAAGAGAAGCCAAAUUGAAUUUGGCAAGGGGUAGGCGGUCGGUGGGGAGGGUGUCCGCACGAAGGGGGGAAGGGGAGAGGAGAGAGGAGAGAGAAAAAGAGAGAAAAGGGAGAGAGAGAGAAAAGAAAUUCAAAAAUCAUAUUAUUCUUAUUUUUCUUUUCUCUUCCCAUUUCUAUUUUCUUUUUGGUCUUCAAUUUUUCCUCCGAUAAUUUCUUUCUUGAAAUUUCGGACUCGUCAAUAAAUUGACGAGCGAUGAGACAGGAUCCUAAUUAUCCAGUCAAAUUAAAACCCGAAAAUCUGGAUGUCACAACUCUUCCCCUCUUAUAAAAAUUUCGUCCUCGAAAUUUAAACCUUUACCAAUCAUAAACGAAAGGUGGGGGUACAACUGUCUCAUCGAGUCUCACUUUUUCCACGCUGAUCAUUCAGUCUUGUGGCGUUGUCUAACCACUUUGACCAAGGAGAUCAUCUUUGCAUACAAACUCUGAUCUUUUUGAACUAACAACUGAACUGAGCUCCUCACAUAAGACAUUAUGUCAUUCACAUCUGAUCUCUUUUUCUCGACUCCCUAAUAAACCUUCGAACCUCAACGAUUCAAAAUUUCUGACAGUUCUGAGCAAUCUUUACUCUGACACUAAUCUAACCAUUGCAAAUAAUGAUCACUGAGCUGACUCUGGACUUGCGAUUUUCUGAUUUCUGAUCUCAUCUCAACCGACUGAAAUCCUGUACACUCUGCUUUGCACUGAUUAAAAAGAAACUAUCUGACUGAUCUGUUGAAACUAGGAAUCUCUGGUCAAGAUCUGAUAUAACUCUGGCACUGAUCUUAGCAACUGUAAUCACUGACUACUGUACUGUCUUUGGCCUGAAAUCUUCUUCACUUCCUUUUUACCACUGAAAUUCUGUACCAUCUGCUAUACACUGCUUAAUAAAGAAUCCUCUGAAAACUCUACCGAAUUUAUAAUCUCUGAUUUAGAUUCGAAAUAUAAUUCAUCCUCGACACUCCAUGCCGGCGAAUUAUCUAAUGCACACACACUUCGGUAUACCCACUCUAUAACCAGAUAAGAUCUUCAGUUUCUGAAAUCGAACUUAGAUUGGCGGUUAAUUUCAUUCCGACACGCUUUUAGUGUGACCUAGGCUACUGGGUAGUGUUCAGAGCUUUUUAGGACAAAUGACCCGUGGUCGAUUUUCUUCGAGCCACAAUGAACCCACUAGACACAUUAGCGACUCUCGAUUAUCGUGAAAAUCUCAAAGGUUCAAAUACGGACACAGGGUACCAAAACGACAGUAAAAUCAAAUUAGUGUCAGUCGACGAGAGUUUUCCAAUUUAGUGGGGUCACCCACGAUUGGUCAUUUAUCUUAGUCGAGCCAACCUAUCUCCGAUCUUAAUUCGAUUUUUAACUGUGCCGUAAUGAUCUCUAAAGAUGAGCACGGUCGAGAAGUCGAUCAUUGGUCGAAUUCUCAAGUCUAUUUGCCUUAAGGUCCUUAAUAACUCACCCAGCUAGUCUAGUUAUCUCCUAAGUGGCCAACUCAGAGAAAAACACUGUAAUCGCGUCGGUGAAAUGCCCAAGUUAUCUAAUCGAAAUCAAAGCCCGAAAUCUGGAUCACACACUCAAAACAAGAUAUAUUCGUACUGUACCAAAGUGGACUAACUCCAUCUAUCGAUCAACCACUAUUCUUAAUUGGUAUCAGUAAUCCCCUGAAUCCUUAGUAAGCCAUAUAUUUCCCUUUCCACUUGGGACUCUCAAGUGAUGGUAAAAAUUCUCCCGGUUCGCAUUACCGAGCUUCCACUUAUUGACACCUCUGACACUUGCAACCUGCUUGGCGAUAUCUACCUUCAUAUCGGCCUACCAAUCUAGCUGACAUCGAUUCUGACUUACUUGCCCCAUCUGGUCAAAACUGUGAUAUUAUAGUGAACUUCUGACAAGAUCUUUUCCCUAAGUGCUACACUGUCAAGUGCACUCAAUUCCUCAUGGAACCCGAACGUUCCAUCCUCAGAAGUUUCAAAGUUAGAUUCUUUCUUGCCAGUAUCCUCUUAUAAGAUCUCCUGAACAUCUCUGUCUGUCAACUAGGCGCCGAUUCUAACUUGAACAUUUGGUUCAAUUUUGAGGGCGGCUAUAAAAUUUAAAAGGUAGCCUACCUCAAAUUUGAAAACCAAAUUUCGAACCCUUUUUAAGUAAAGUUUAUACUUUAGCCAGCCUAUGUAUAAUCGAAGACUCUCGGCUCAACACAUAAAUUACUUCUUUCAUUCUCCCAAGAUAAUACCAGAUAACAUCAUUAUAGUUCUGCCAAAAUUCUGAUUCACGACACUGUUUCAUGUUCAACUUAUUGGGUCUCAACUGGCGGGACGGUUAUACAACAAUCUUCUCAUGUUGUAUCAAUACAUACCCAGUCGUUGACAAGACACAUCACUAAAGGUUUCAUGCUUUCCAGAGCCAAAUAAAAGUUUAGCACAAGUGCGGUAGCCUGAUCUUACUGAAGCUUUGGAAAUUAUCCUCGUACUUGUCUAUGCCAAUGAAUUUCUCUUCUUUCUCAAGAGGUCAAGCCCAUGAUGAUAUUGAUGCUGAAAAUUCUUUCACAAACCUUCCGUAGUAAUCUGUCAAAUCCCCACAACUUCUAAUCUCUGACAUUGAUGUCGGUCUCGGUCCAUUAACAACUGAUUCGAUCUUGGCUGGGUCCAUGAAGAUUCCUUUGCUUGUAACCACACGACCAUUCUUAGGGGCAUCUCGUGAUUCUCAACACUUAAUGAACACCCUAUAAUGUCGCUACACCACACGAUCACCAUUGAUCUAGAUAUUCUUUGAACACUCGAUUUGUCAAAUCUAUGACAGCGACUGGAGCGUUUGUCAAAUCAAAUGGCUUUACAUUCUUCUCACAAGGACAAAAUCAAGUGCGAAAUGCCGUCUUCAGUAUAACCUCCUUCCUGGUUCUCAACUGACAAUAACCUGUCCUCAAGUCGAUCCUUGUAGACAUCCACACUCUUUAUAACAAGUCGCCCAAUUCGUCGAUCUUUGACAAUGAACACUUAUCAUUGAUUGUCACUUGAUUGGGUCGACUAUAGUUGAUGCAUAAUUGCAACAAACCAUCUUUCUUUCUCUUUUCACAAAACUAAUGAUCCCUAAAGUGAUGCACUGAUAUGCAUGAAUUCAUCAUUCAUCAAUCCUCACAUCUGAACCAUUGGUUCUAUCAAUUCAAACAACAACAACCGGUAAGGACUUUUAGAGAAUGGUUUAGUUCCAGAUGUUAACUUGAUCGUAAUUCUAUCUCUUUCUCUGGCAACGGUCUGACCACUUUUCUGGCAACACUUCCAAGAAUUCUUGGACAACUAAGGAGUUCUCAAUUUUUUUUUUUCCAAUCUGUCUUAUCUAAGAUCAUUGCUCACUAAUCUCAAUAACUUAUGUCUGACAACCAGGUUACCUCAAGUGACGAGAUCAAAGAAGUCAAGGACCCUUCUCAACUCUCAAUAAAACUCGGUACUUCUACAUGCUCCUGGAAUAAGCUGGGUUACUCUACCAUAACAAUUCAUCACCAUAUAAUGCUCAAGAACCAAUUCUUUCCACACUUGACAAAUAAGUCAUACACCAACAGCCAAUCAAGUAUAAUUCUAGUCAAUGGUUCUUUUCCUAUAGCCUUAACAAACAACUGAAAUUCCACACUUGCAAUCCCAACAUUCUCUGGCACUAUUUUGAUAAAAUCACCUCAAAAUAUUCUUUCAUUGAAUAAGGCAUAGUCGGUUCCGUUCCUGUUCCUUUUGCCAUCUUGCUGGUGUUCUAACGGUAGUAACAGUGUUGGUGUUCUCCUUAAACCCCAACCGAUAGUCCUUCACUUGAUGGCCGUGCUCACUACUAUCAAAGCAUGUUCUAGUCAUUCUCGAACACAGGAUUAAUCCAUGCAUUCCUUCCAUACUUUCGGCACUCAUCAGGUGAGUCUUCUAUCUCCUGCCAAGUGACAGCACACACUCUUUCUGGUUGUCCCAUCAGUCUGCUAGAACCGCUCUCGACUUCGAUCUUUUCCCUGACCGAUUUCCAUUUCUGCCUGAACUGGAUCUGUACCUUGACUUGGAAGCGAUGGUUCGAUCCCAGAUCAUAUCCCCACUCUGGAUCUCAACAGGGUAGCAACAACAGCAACAACUUGAUUCUGACCGUACAGGCUCAUCCAGAUCCCAAGAAAUACUUGCAUCAGAACGAUCCUAUCGAGCUUAGGAUCAUUCGACGCUGCUACACUAGUACCAACCUACAGUGGUACUCUUACACUCGAGCUGGCUAGAGCCAACACUCUGCCACAACCACCUCGGGUACCGACCUUUGUCAGUGCAUUAUCCCGAGUCACAGAGGACAUUGUCCUCUUACUAGGAGUUCUCAGCUCCUGCUCGCUCAUGGUUCAGUCUUUACACUAAAACCCGACUUCCCAAAUCCACACUGGAUUAGAAGAUGAGCGAUCCUCACACGACAAUCAAUUCUAGCAUCCAGCUAACACAGACAUGCACCAGUAUGAAUUUAAAGGCCUUGCCUACUAACUAUCCCAUGGUCAACGCUCCUUAUCACUCCAAUCUUCAACUUCGCUCUGAUACCACUUAAACAGGAUGUCACGCCUCGAUCCUCGAGCACGCACACAUCCUUCUCACUUGGUCGAUUUUAUAAUGCGAUAUCCCAGGACAAGUAUCGCCGACCCUUUAGUUUAUUAAGCACAUGCGGAAGCAGUUAAAAUCCCCAGACAAUAAAACGAUGGGAUAGAAAAACAGGGCCAUAUUUUUCAUAUUGAAAUUUAUAACCAAACUUUUAUACAAAACAAAAACCACUUCAAAACUAUUCACAUCAAAAUGGAGAUCUCAAAAGAAGAUAGGAUCUCAAUCCAUCCAGGCCAUACUCAAGGCCCAUCUCGGUAUUAUCUUCUUCUUUCAAAAUCCUUCCCUUCAAGUUUCACCUCCAAGAUCUCCUUCCCAGACUUCUCCUCCUCAGCUCCUUAUCGGGGUCCUGAAAUGUUUUUCCCCAAACUGGGAUGAGACUACGUCUCAGCGAGUUCUACCCCACUAAGCCCGAUUAGUAAACCAUUAUACUAUAGGCUGCCUAAACACGCACAGGGCAGAAGACGUACCUUGGCAUCAGAUCCCACCUGCAAGUCAGUACAAUUCAUAAUAGGCACACAAGCAAUCAUAUUAUCAAUCGAAGCAUCGAUCAAAUCGACCUAGUCGAUUACAAGCCAAUAAGACCACUCACGGUCAUUUCCAAUCAAUCAAUCAAUUCACAACAUCGAAUCAAAGCAAUGAUCAAUCGACCACGUCGAUUACAUGUCAGCUUGACCAUUUCCCGGUCAUUCAAGCUAUUGCUAUUCAGACUCAAGUAACAAAACCAAUAACCGAGCCACGUGCAUUCUCCGAGGUAAUGCAUUACUUUACCGAGCCCACGUGCCCUUUAAUGCCAAAUGUUCUCAUUGGGACCACGUGCAUUCUCCGAGGUAAUGCAUUACUUUACCGAGCCCACGUGCCCUUUAAUGCUAAAUGUACUCAUUGGGACCACGUGCAUUCUCCGAGGCGAUGCAUCAAGUCACCGAGCCCACGUGUCCUUUUAGAUGCCAAAUAUACUCAUUGGGACCACGUGCAUUCUCCGAGGCGAUGCAUCAAGUCACCGAGCCCACGUGUCCUUUUAGAUGCCAAAUGUUCUCUUUGAGACCACGUGCAUUCUCCGAGGUAAUGCAUCAAAUUACCGAGCCCACGUGUCUCUUUUAGGAUGCCACACUUAAUCACCGAGCCACAUGCAUUCUCCAAGGCGACAUACUUCGUCACCGAGCCAUGUGCAUUCUCCGAGGUGAUAUAUCUAAUCAUCAAGCUCCGUGCAUUCUCCAAAGUGAAAUACCAAAUCACCGAGCCGCGUGCCUUUCAUGAUGAUUCAUCCCAUUUCUAAAGUAAUUAUCCACAAUUAAAUCUUUUCAGCACAAAUUAAAGCUCAAUUAAAUAAACGGAUGGCGCCACGACGAUCAGCACGAGAUUUCGGUCGUCGGCCAUCUCCAAUUUAAUUUCCGAAAAAUAAAUAAAUAAAUAAUUAAUUUCGAAAAUUAAUUAUUAAAUAUUAAAGAUUCCGUUUAGCUCAAAUUAAGGUCCAAUUAAAUAAACGGACUUCACCACGAUCAUCAGCAUAAUUUUCCGGUCACGGGCCAUCUCAGUUGAAUUUUCAGGAAAUAAAUAAUUAAUUAAUUAAUUUCGAAAAUUAUAUAAUUAAUAUUAAAAUUCAAUUUAGCUCAAAAUAAAGCCCGAUUAAAUAAACAGACUUCACCACAGUCAUCCGCAUAAUAUUCCGGCUCCAGACCAUCUCCCUUGAAUUUUCGGAAAAUAAAUAAUUAUUUAAUUUAAUUCCGAAAAUUAAUAUUUAAAUGCCCAAAAAUCUCACUUAGGCCCGAAUCAUCAAAUUGAAGCUCAAUUAGAGGUCCGAAAAUUCCCGAGACAUUCCCAAUAAUUAGUAGACCACGUCUACUUAUUAAUUGCACAAUCAAUUUAUCUAAAUCACAUCACAAUUGACUAAUAAUUGCUAAUUAAUUCUAAUCUAACAACCUAAACAUAAUUAAUUAAAACUAAACCAACCUAAAGCAUAAUUAGCCAACUAAUCAAAGAUUAGUGAGAUUACUCACCAAAUUGCGCGCAAAUCCGAUCAAUCCGACGGCGGCGACGCGAGGAACGAUUGUCCCCAAAGCACGGCUCGGGUUCGGGGCCCGGAAACGGCCCAAAACGGCCCACGAACAGCUGGAUACCCACUCCGUGGGUUUGCUGGUUCGGCCGCAAAACAGCAAGAAAGAGAGAGGGUUGGGGGCGGCAAGAGGUCGGGAGAGCGGGUGGUGGCUUGGCGAGGCCGAGCGGUGGCCCACGGUGGCCGGAGGUGGCCGGAUCGUGGCCGAACGGAGCUGGACAGAGGAUGGGCAGCAGCUGGAUCGUGCGGGGAAGCACGCCUGGCGCGAGGGAUGGCCGGCAGAACGCGCGGCGUUGUGCGGGCGGCGUCGCGGGCGAUUCGGCUCCGGUGCGGCGGCGGGACGGGCGACGGUGGUCCUCGACGAGCUGCUGCUCUUCUUUGCCGGUUUAGGUCUGGUUCGCACAAAGAAGAACGAAGAAGAAGAAGAAGGUCACGUGGGAUGAGGGAGAAGAGAGAGGAGAGAGAAGAAGAGAUAAGAGAG
rnacentral:lncRNA from 1 species